rnacentral:rRNA from 1 species
CGGAGGGUGCGAGCGUUGUCCGGAUUUAUUGGGUUUAAAGGGUGCGUAGGCGGCCCGUUAAGUCCGGGGUGAAAGCCCGUUGCUCAACAACGGAACUGCCCUGGAUACUGACAGGCUUGAGUACAGACGAGGUUGGCGGAAUGGACCGAGUAGCGGUGAAAAUGCAUAGAUACGGUCCAGAACCCCAAUUGCGAAGGCAGCUGACUAGGCUGUUACUGACGCUGAGGCACGACAGCGUGGGGAGCGAACAGGAUU